AUGAGAUGUCACUGCCAAGGCAGCCGAAUUCACUGCAAGUUUCCAGGAUCAGGUUUCCUUGGAACAGGCUCGCACAUGGCCUCUGUCUUCUAAAGCUGAUUGCUUUGCCAUGGUGUAAAGUGCGUGAAUCUUAACCCGAUGAAUUUUCAUGUGUAUUCAUUGGUGCAGAACUACUUAAAUCAAGAUAUAGAACAUUCCAGCAUCCCAAAGGCUCUGUCACAUCUCUUCCCCGUUACUGUUCCCUGUCCUUGAACUUUGAAGCAAUUACUGUUAUACUAUUCUAAAUUUCAUCACCAUCAUUUUGCCUGUAUUUGAACUUUACACACACACACACACACACACCCACACACACACGCACGCACACACACGAGUAGGUACUUUUGUGCCUGGCCUCUUUUGCUAAACAUUUUUCAGUGAGAUUCACACAUUUUCUAACAUGCAACAAUUGUUUGUUUCUUCCUGUUGCUUGUAGUAGAAUCCAUUGUAUGAAUAUACCCGAACUCAUUUACCAAUUCUACUAUUGUUGAGCUUUUGGGCUGUUUUCAGGUUUGGUUUAUGAUGAAUAUAGUUGCGAUGAACAUUCUUGGAACAUUCUUGCAUAUUCCUUUUGGUGGACGAAAGCAUUUGCUUCUCUUCUAUAUGUACCUUGUGUGAGGUAUACAGAUGUUUAGCUUUAGUUUAAUCCUGCAAAACUAUUUUUCAAAGUUAUCUUUCCAACUUAUACCCCCACCAGCAACGUAUGAGACUUCUAGUCGCUCCACAUUGUUUCCAACAGUGUGUAUUUUCAGGCUUUUUGUUUUGUUUUGUUUUGUUUUUAACUCAUCAUCUUGAUGGGUACAUCAUGGCAUCUCAAUAAUAGGCAUUUCCCUGAUAACUAAGAGACUGAGCACUUUUUCAUAUACUCAUUCCAUUACGCCCAUUGGGUAACUUCUUUUGGGAAGGAUCUAUUCGAGUCUUUUGGCCCAUCUUAAAAUUCAGUUGUUUGUCUUUUUCUAAGGGUUUGUAGGUUUCCUUUAUAUACGGAUAUAAGCUCUGCAAAUAUAUUCUCCGUGGCUGUGGCUUGCCUUCUCAUUCUCUUUUGAUGGGUAGUUCUUGCGUAUUUAUUAGUUUUGUUUUUGUGGUUAGUGUUUUUAAACAGCAGUUUAAGAAAUCUUUACCUAAGCAUAGAAGAGGACGAAUUAAGUACAAGACACAUGAAGGCUUAUCCUAUCAUUCUGAAGUUAUACUGCUUGAUAGACUUGUCUGACAUUCUUGAUAAUUAGUUUCAUGUCUAUACUAAGCAAACAUUCUUAACCAUACUAUAUUAUUUAGAUGAAAAUAUUUCUUCCUCCCUAUAUAUUAUUUGUAUAAGAAAAACAUAUUAAAAAUUACUUGGUUAUGGCCAAGAGCAAUGGCUCAUGCCUGUAAUCCCACCACUUUGAGAGGCCAAGGUGGGCAGAUCACCUGAGGUCAGGAGUUCGAGACCAACUUGACCAACAUGGUGAAACCCCAUCUGUCUGUACUAAAAAAUACAAAAAUUAGCCAGGUGUCAUGGCGGGCACCAGUAAUUCCAGCUGCUCAGGAGGCUGAGGCAUGAGAAUCUCUUGCUCUGGAUGCGGAGGUUGCAGUGAGCUGAGAUUGUGCCACUGCACGCCACCCUGAAUGACAGAGUGAGACUUUCUCUAAAAAAAAAAAAAAAAGAAAAAGAAAAAAUAUUACUGGGUUAUGUGGGGAGAGGGGGUGAAUAGGCAGAGCCCAAGGAUUUUUAGGGCAGUGAAAUUAUUCUGUAUACUACAAUGGAGGAUAUAUGUCACUAUGCAUUUGUCAAAACUUAUACAAUAUACCAUAUCGAGAGUGAAUCCUAAAUAUGGGCUUUGGGUGAUAAUGAUGUGUCAACAUAGAUUCAUUGAUUGUUAACAAAUGUACCACUUGAGGGUGGAAUGUUGAUUAUGGGAGAGAUUAUGUACGCGUGAAGGUGGGAGACAUAUCGUAACUCUCUGUACUUUCUGCUUAAUUUUGUUGUAAACUUAAAACUGCCCUA
rnacentral:lncRNA from 1 species